AGCAGCCGCGGUAAUUCCAGCUCCAAUAGCGUAUAUUAAAGUUGCUGCAGUUAAAAAGCUCGUAGUUGAAUUUCGGGACCAUCAUGUCGGUCGUGCCUCGGUACGUACUGGUAUUGUUGGUUUCUCCCUUCUGACGAACCAUGAUGUCAUUUAUUUGGUGUCUUGGGGAAUCAGGACUGUUACUUUGAAAAAAUUAGAGUGUUUAAAGCAGGCUCACGCUUGAAUACAUUAGCAUGGAAUAAUGAAAUAGGACGUUUGAUUCUAUUUUGUUGGUUUCUAGGAUCGACGUAAUGAUUAAUAGGGAUAGUUGGGGGCAUUAGUAUUCAAUUGUCAGAGGUGAAAUUCUUGGAUUUAUUGAAGACUAACUACUGCGAAAGCAUUUGCCAAGGAUGUUUUCAUUAAUCAAGAACGAAAGUUAGGGGAUCGAAGACGAUCAGAUACCGUCGUAGUCUUAACCAUAAACUAUGCCGACUAGGGAUCGGAUGAUGUUAAUUUUUUAAUGACUCA
rnacentral:rRNA from 1 species